CUGAGAUCAGAAACAAGGAGCCAUCAGCUGCUCUCGCCCAUGCAGAAGCUGAGGCUGCAAAAGUAAGGUCUUCCUUUGCUGCACAAGAGAUGCAACUAAAGCUAAGGCAAGCAGAUCAAGAAACAGAAAGAGCAUGCGUGCAAGCGUCAAUGGAAAAGGAGAGAGUACGCAUGCAAGCGUCAUUGGAAGAGGAGAGAGUACGCCUGGAAGAA